UACGGAGGGGGCUAGCGUUAUUCGGAAUUACUGGGCGUAAAGCGCGCGUAGGCGGUUUUCCAAGUUGGAGGUGAAAUCCCGGGGCUUAACUCCGGAACUGCCUUCAAAACUGGAUGACUAGAGUUCGAGAGAGGUAAGGGGAAUUCCUAGUGUAGAGGUGAAAUGCGUAGAUAUUAGGAAGAACACCAGUGGCGAAGGUGGCUUACUGGCUCGAUACUGACGCUGAGGUGCGAAAGUGUGGGGAGCAAACAGG
rnacentral:rRNA from 1 species